rnacentral:rRNA from 1 species
GAUGAACGCUGGCGGCGUGCCUAAUACAUGCAAGUCGAGCGAACAGAUGAGGAGCUUGCUCCUCUGACGUUAGCGGCGGACGGGUGAGUAACACGUGGAUAACCUACCUAUAAGACUGGGAUAACUUCGGGAAACCGGAGCUAAUACCGGAUAAUAUAUUGAACCGCAUGGUUCAAUAGUGAAAGACGGUUUUGCUGUCACUUAUAGAUGGAUCCGCGCCGCAUUAGCUAGUUGGUAAGGUAACGGCUUACCAAGGCAACGAUGCGUAGCCGACCUGAGAGGGGGAUCGGCCACACUGGAACUGAGACACGGUCCAGACGCCUACGGGAGGCAGCAGUAGGGAAUCUUCCGCAAUGGGCGAAAGCUUGACGGAGCAACGCCGAGUGAGUGAUGAAGGUCUUCGGAGCGUAAAACUCUGUUAUUAGGGAAGAACAAAUGUGUAAGUAACUAUGCACGUCUUGACGGUACCUAAUCAGAAAGCCACGGCUAACUACGUG